CUGUGCGGACACGUGGCUACUUACCAAUGGCUAAAGCCAUGUGGCUUAGAUUGCUGUUUUUGAGUAAACGGGUGAUUCAAACUAUAAAAGAAUCUCUCUCCAAAACCGCAGGAGGUGAGAACGAGACCGGUUGGGCGGCCGAGAGCUCGCGUGCGGAUGAUUUCUUCUGUGAAGGCCAUAGAAAGAUUGCCUUUGGCUCAUACUCGUUCAAACCCCUUUCUCUGAGGUAUCCCCCUCUUGUUUCUCCUUUCUUCUUAGGCGUUUAUGGACUCUAUUCUUCGUUCUUGUUAUGCUAAUAUUGGUUUGUUAUAUCCUGUAUUCUUUCUUCCAACGAUUGGACUUCAUGUUUUCAAUUUGGCCUCCUAUGCCCAGCCGAGAUCUAGCCUCCUCUACUUUUUUUUUGCCGUACCUUUUUACACCUGACGUUAAAUUGAUUUGAUUAUAGCAUUGUGCCGGAAUACUGCAGACUUAUUGUUCGAUAUUAUGUCCAUGUGACUUUCUCCGGUGUAUGUGGGAAGAUUAAUGGAGUCAUGAGUUAGAAUAAGAAAUAGAAAAGUUAUUUUAUUGCCAUCGCUUAAAAAGCUGCGAUUUUUAACGUUCCUGUCUUGUUUAUUAGCUAUAGUUUUUGUUGGGACAUACCGACCGAUCAUUUUCACGCCGACUCACUUUUGGGCCUACCCGACUGGUGUCCGACUCUACCGAUCGUACCGACCGACGACUG
rnacentral:lncRNA from 1 species